rnacentral:rRNA from 1 species
UAGUAACCUUCGAAUGACGUUACUGCAGACGAGGCAACCCGCGCCUUGUCCACGUGUCUAUGCCACCAGGCCCGCUAAUAACGAACGGUGCCAUGCUUAUUCUGGUAACUGACUUGGCGUGAAAGUGCACGCAGGCCGUCUAGUCAAGGUACAGCAUGUGAAAAUCCCCCUGGGCUCCAAGCGUCGGGCAGCAUGCAUCCCGAAACUAGUCAGCGCUAGAGUCCUCGUAGAGGGGGGGGUAGAAGUACCCACCUGUAGCGGUGAAAAUGCGUAGAGAUCUGGAGGGAAUACCAGGUGGGCGAAGGGCGGCGCCCCUCGGACAAAAGACUGACGCUGCAUGCUGCGAAAAGCGUGGGGAGCAAACAGGAUUAGAUACCCUGGUAGUCCACGCUGUAAACGAUGUCGACUUGGAGGUUGUUCCCUUGAGGAGUGGCUUCCGGAGCUAACGCGUUAAGUCGACCGCCUGGUGAGUACGGCCGCAAGGUUACAACUCAAAUGAAUUGACGGGGGCCGGCACAAGCGGUGGAGCAUGUGGUUUAAUUGGAUGCAACGCGAAGAACCUUACCUACUCUUGACAUCCAGAGAACUUAGCAGAGAUGCUUUGGUGCCUUCGGGAACUCUGAGACAGGUGCUGCAUGGCUGUCGUCAGCUCGUGUUGUGAAAUGUUGGGUUAAGUCCCGCAACGAGCGCAACCCUUAUCCUUUGUUGCCAGCGAUUCGGUCGGGAACUCAAAGGAGACUGCCAGUGAUAAACUGGAGGAAGGUGGGGAUGACGUCAAGUCAUCAUGGCCCUUUCGAGUAGGGCUACACACGUGCUACAAUGGCAUAUACAAAGAGAAGCGACCUCGCGAGAGCAAGCGGACCUCAUAAAGUAUGUCGUAGUCCGGAUCGGAGUCUGCAACUCGACUCCGUGAAGUCGGAAUCGCUAGUAAUCGUGGAUCAGAAUGCCACGGUGAAUACGUUCCCGGGCCUUGUACACACCGCCCGCCACCCCAUGCGAGUGGGUUGCAAAAGAACUAGGUAGCUUUACCUUCGAGACGGCGUCUCACCUCUUGUUGAGGCACAGACUGAUACGAGCUAUCCAAAAUUUGC